rnacentral:ncRNA from 1 species
AUAAAUUUUAGUGUUGAUUUAAUUUUAUUUUAAUAAUUUUUAAAAAUUUAAAUGUAGUAAUUAAUAUUAAAUAUUUAAGAAAUUAAGAUUUAGUUAUAUUUAAAUUAAUAACAAAUUUUGUGCCAGCAGUUGCGGUUAAACAAAAGUUAAAUUAAAUUUUAUUAGUUAAUUAAUAAAUAUAUAGUAUUAUAUAAUUUAAAUUUUAAAUUAUUAAGUGAAAUUUUAAUUUAAUUUAAAAUUAUAAAUUUAUAUUAUGAUUUAAUAAAUUUUAUAAAAGACUAGGAUUAGAUACCCUAUUAUGAAAAUUUAAAAUUAAAAUACUAAAAUAGUAAUUAAUUAUUUAUUGAAACUUAAAUAACUUGGCGGUAUUUUAGUUCAUUUAGAGGAAUCUGUUUAAUAAUUGAUAAUCCACGAAUAAAUUUACUUGAUUUAUAAUUUUGUAUAUCGUUGUUAUAAAAAUAUUUUUUUUUAAUAAUAAUAUUUCAAAUUUAAAAUUUUAAAUUAAAUCAGAUCAAGAUGCAGAUUAUAAUUAAGAAUAUAAUGGAUUACAAUAAAUUUAUUUAAAUGAAUAUUAAUUUGUAAUAAUUGAUUGAAAGUGGAUUUAAAUGUAAUUUUAUUUAUUUUAAUAAAAUGAUUAAAAAUUGAAAUAUGUACAUAUUGCCCGUCGCUUUCAUAUGAAUAUAAAAUUGGAAUAAGUCGUAACAAAGUAGAGGUACUGGAAAGUGUUUCUAGAAAGAC